UCUUUGCCACAAAAGCAGCUUGAGCUGGUGUCAACGUCCCAGAACGUAGGGCAUUGCUAAGAUUUGAAGCCUGGGCCAGAUUCAUUGAGUUCUGUCCUAUAGAUCCCAUUGGUGCAGAAAUCCCAGUUAUACCCACUCCCCUGAUGCCACCUAUACCCACGACAUUAUUUAAGCCUCCAAGCCCAACCAUGUUAUUGCCAAUGUUGCCCAUACCUACAGUUCCAAGGCCACCCAUCAUUUUUCUAUGCAUUUGAGGCUGCUGCUGCUGUUGAGGUUGCAGCUGUUGUUGCUGCUGCUGCAUCAGCUGAAGUUGGAGAGGUGAAAGUUUAUUUGCUGUAGCACCCAACUGCAUAUUUGUGUUCUGCCCAAUAGUGUUUGAAUGUGGCAUAGAAUUUGGGGAAAACAUCAUAGAUGAUCUUUGGUACUGAGGAUGCCGCUGUUGAAUCAAGGAGUGUUGAUGGUGUUGUGGUGAAGGUUGCUGCUGCUGCAGAGAUGGCAGUAAUUCAGGUUGUUGAGGCCUAGAAGUCAUUGAAACCCCAGGCAAGAGUCCUUGAGAGAUUUGCAUCACCUGAGUAUUUCCAGGAGGUGACACCAUUGGCGGGCCCUGUAUAUUUUGAGAUGAGCUAACUGAUAAAUUGUCACUAUUACUCGGUUUGGCAAUAUCGUUAGAUGGGAGGCUAGAGACUCCAUCAGAAUACUGCUGCAUCUCCACUGGAUUGCUGCCUGAAGGGAUUCCCUGACCAUUAAGUUGACUGGCUGAGGUUUCAUUGAUGCGGACUGGUUUCGGUUGAGCAUGAUCCUCAUGAUGAUACCCUUCACGUGUCAUCUGCAAAAGUGAAUAUCACUAAUUGACUCUUAUCCAACUCAAAUGCUC
rnacentral:lncRNA from 1 species